GACGAACGCUGGCGGCGUGCCUAAUACAUGCAAGUAGAACGCAGUUGCGAACGGGUGAGUAACGCGUAGGUAACUGCCUCAUAGCGGGGGAUAACUAUUGGAAACGAUAGCUAAUACCGCAUACUGUGAGAUGGACCUGCGUUGUAUUAGCUAGUUGGUGAGGUAAAGGCUCACCAAGGCGACGAUACAUAGCCGACCUGAGAGGGUGCGGGGCAAGUGUGGAAGUGAGAAACGGUUCGGACUCCGACGGGAGGCAGCAGUGGGGAAGAGUGGACAAUGGGCGCAAGCCUGAUGCAGCUAGGCAGCGGGGAUGAAGAAUGCCGUCGGGUUGUAAAGGACUGCCAGGGAGGAGGCGGUACUCGGAGAAGAAGCAUCGGCUAACUCCGUGCCAGCAGCCGCGGUAAUUC
rnacentral:rRNA from 1 species